rnacentral:rRNA from 1 species
GGUUAAGUGACUAAGCGUACACGGUGGAUGCCUAGGCAGUCAGAGGCGAUGAAGGGCGUGCUAAUCUGCGAAAAGCGUCGGUAAGGUGAUAUGAACCGUUACAACCGGCGAUACCCGAAUGGGGAAACCCAGUGUGUUUCGACACACUAUCAUGUCAUGAAUACAUAGUGGCAUGAGGCGAACCGGGGGAACUGAAACAUCUAAGUACCCCGAGGAAAAGAAAUCAACCGAGAUUCCCCCAGUAGCGGCGAGCGAACGGGGAGGAGCCCAGAACCUGAAUCGGCUUGUGUGUUAGUGGAAGCGUCUGGAAAGUCGCGCAGUAAAGGGUGAUAGCCCCGUACACUAAAAUGCACAGGUCGUGAGUUCGAUGAGUAGGGCGGGACACGUGACAUCCUGUCUGAAUAUGGGGGGACCAUCCUCCAAGGCUAAAUACUCCUGACUGACCGAUAGUGAACCAGUACCGUGAGGGAAAGGCGAAAAGAACCCCGGCGAGGGGAGUGAAAUAGAACCUGAAACCGUGUACGUACAAGCAGUGGGAGCACCUUCGUGGUGUGACUGCGUACCUUUUGUAUAAUGGGUCAGCGACUUAUAUUUUGUAGCAAGGUUAACCGUAUAGGGGAGCCGUAGGGAAACCGAGUCUUAACUGGGCGAAUAGUUGCAAGGUAUAGACCCGAAACCCGGUGAUCUAGCCAUGGGCAGGUUGAAGGUUGGGUAACACUAACUGGAGGACCGAACCGACUAAUGUUGAAAAAUUAGCGGAUGACUUGUGGCUGGGGGUGAAAGGCCAAUCAAACCGGGAGAUAGCUGGUUCUCCCCGAAAGCUAUUUAGGUAGCGCCUCGUGAACUCAUCUUCGGGGGUAGAGCACUGUUUCGGCUAGGGGGCCAUCCCGGCUUACCAAACCGAUGCAAACUCCGAAUACCGAAGAAUGUUAUCACGGGAGACACACGGCGGGUGCUAACGUCCGUCGUGAAGAGGGAAACAACCCAGACCGCCAGCUAAGGUCCCAAAGUCAUGGUUAAGUGGGAAACGAUGUGGGAAGGCAUAGACAGCCAGGAUGUUGGCUUAGAAGCAGCCAUCAUUUAAAGAAAGCGUAAUAGCUCACUGGUCGAGUCGGCCUGCGCGGAAGAUGUAACGGGGCUAAACCAUGCACCGAAGCUGCGGCAGCGACGCUUAGGCGUUGUUGGGUAGGGGAGCGUUCUGUAAGCCGUUGAAGGUGGCCUGUGAGGGUUGCUGGAGGUAUCAGAAGUGCGAAUGCUGACAUAAGUAACGAUAAAGCGGGUGAAAAGCCCGCUCGCCGGAAGACCAAGGGUUCCUGUCCAACGUUAAUCGGGGCAGGGUGAGUCGACCCCUAAGGCGAGGCUGAAAAGCGUAGUCGAUGGGAAACAGGUUAAUAUUCCUGUACUUGGUGUUACUGCGAAGGGGGGACGGAGAAGGCUAGGCUAGCCGGGCGACGGUUGUCCCGGUUUAAGCGUGUAGGGGGUGUGACCUGGUAAAUCCGGUUACAUAUCAACCCUGAGGCGUGAUGACGAUGCACUACGGUGCAGAAGUAGUUGAUGCCCUGCUUCCAGGAAAAGCCUCUAAGCUCCAGGUAACAUUGAAUCGUACCCCAAACCGACACAGGUGGUCAGGUAGAGAAUACCAAGGCGCUUGAGAGAACUCGGGUGAAGGAACUAGGCAAAAUGGUGCCGUAACUUCGGGAGAAGGCACGCUGGCAUGUAGGUGAAGUCCCUUGCGGAUGGAGCUGAAGCCAGUCGAAGAUACCAGCUGGCUGCAACUGUUUAAUAAAAACACAGCACUGUGCAAACACGAAAGUGGACGUAUACGGUGUGACGCCUGCCCGGUGCUGGAAGGUUAAUUGAUGGGGUCAGCCGCAAGGCGAAGCUCUUGAUCGAAGCCCCAGUAAACGGCGGCCGUAACUAUAACGGUCCUAAGGUAGCGAAAUUCCUUGUCGGGUAAGUUCCGACCUGCACGAAUGGCGUAAUGAUGGCCAGGCUGUCUCCACCCGAGACUCAGUGAAAUUGAACUCGCUGUGAAGAUGCAGUGUACCCGCGGCAAGACGGAAAGACCCCGUGAACCUUUACUAUAGCUUGACACUGAACAUUGAGCCUUGAUGUGUAGGAUAGGUGGGAGGCUUUGAAGCGUGGACGCCAGUCUGCGUGGAGCCAUCCUUGAAAUACCACCCUUUAAUGUUUGAUGUUCUAACUCGGCCCCAUAAUCUGGGGUGAGGACAGUGUCUGGUGGGUAGUUUGACUGGGGCGGUCUCCUCCCAAAGAGUAACGGAGGAGCACGAAGGUUAGCUAAUCACGGUCGGACAUCGUGAGGUUAGUGCAAAGGCAUAAGCUAGCUUGACUGCGAGAGUGACGGCUCGAGCAGGUACGAAAGUAGGUCUUAGUGAUCCGGUGGUUCUGAAUGGAAGGGCCAUCGCUCAACGGAUAAAAGGUACUCCGGGGAUAACAGGCUGAUACCGCCCAAGAGUUCAUAUCGACGGCGGUGUUUGGCACCUCGAUGUCGGCUCAUCACAUCCUGGGGCUGAAGUAGGUCCCAAGGGUAUGGCUGUUCGCCAUUUAAAGUGGUACGCGAGCUGGGUUUAGAACGUCGUGAGACAGUUCGGUCCCUAUCUGCCGUGGGCGUUGGAAGAUUGAGAGGGGUUGCUCCUAGUACGAGAGGACCGGAGUGAACGCACCACUGGUGUUCGGGUUGUCAUGCCAAUGGCAUUGCCCGGUAGCUAAGUGCGGAAAAGAUAAGCGCUGAAAGCAUCUAAGCGCGAAACUUGCCUCAAGAUGAGUCUUCCCUGGGCCUUUAAGGCCCCUGAAGGAACGUUUAAGACUAAGACGUUGAUAGGCUGGGUGUGUAAGUGCAGCGAUGCAUUGAGCUAACCAGUACUAAUGAUCCGUGAGGCUUAACCUU